rnacentral:rRNA from 1 species
CUAGCUGUAAACGAUGGAUACUAGGCGUUGAGAGUAUCGACCCUCUCAGUGUCGUAGCUAACGCGUUAAGUAUCCCGCCUGGGAGUACGCGCGCAAGCGUGAAACUCAAAGGAAUUGACGGGGGCCCGCACAAGCGGUGGAGUAUGUGGUUUAAUUCGAUGCAACGCGAAGAACCUUACCAGGGCUUGACAUGUCCGGAACCCUGCCCAAAGGCGGGGGUGCCUACGGGAACCGGAACACAGGUGGUGC